rnacentral:rRNA from 1 species
UGGGGAAUCUUGGACAAUGGGCGCAAGCCUGAUCCAGCCAUGCCGCGUGAGUGACGAAGGCCCUAGGGUUGUAAAACUCUUUCGCAGGUGACGAUAAUGACGGUAACCUGAUAAGAAGCUCCGGCUAACUUCGUGCCAGCAGCCGCGGUAAUACGAAGGGGGCUAGCGUUGUUCGGAUUUACUGGGCGUAAAGCGCGUGUAGGCGGGUCGUUAAGUUGGGGGUGAAAUCCCGAGGCUCAACCUCGGAACU